AUAUAAAAGCACCACUACUCUACUUCUGCCUAUAUAAAGAACACGCCCCUUCAUCCUGCAGAACCACAGUUUCUUGUGCACACCACCAGCUUAUUUGCCUCUCGUUAAGUCACUUUCUUCUACAAAAUACGUUGCAAACAACCUGAUCAAGCAAGGAUGACAAACAGAUCUAUAUCUUUCCCAUCAUCUCCUGUUGGCUAUGUAUUUCGUCCGACCGAUGAACAAUUGGUGAAUCAUUACCUGAGGUUAAAAAUGCAUGGCGGCUAUGAACAAGAAGUCAGCAUAAUCGCCGAAGUUAAUGUGUGCGAUUUUGAGCCUCGGGUACUCCCUGGGCUUUCUACAUAUCAGUCAAACCCCAGAACCAGGUACUGUCAAGCUUCACUUAAUUUGUUCUAUAGUUUUUUCUUCCCUUUUCA